rnacentral:rRNA from 1 species
CCUACGGGAGGCAGCAGUGGGGAAUAUUGCACAAUGGGCGAAAGCCUGAUGCAGCGACGCCGCGUGAGGGAUGACGGCCUUCGGGUUGUAAACCUCUUUCAGCAGGGAAGAAGCGAAAGUGACGGUACCUGCAGAAGAAGCGCCGGCUAACUACGUGCCAGCAGCCGCGGUAAUACGUAGGGCGCAAGCGUUGUCCGGAAUUAUUGGGCGUAAAGAGCUCGUAGGCGGCUUGUCACGUCGGAUGUGAAAGCCCGAGGCUUAACCUCGGGUCUGCAUUCGAUACGGGCUAGCUAGAGUGUGGUAGGGGAGAUCGGAAUUCCUGGUGUAGCGGUGAAAUGCGCAGAUAUCAGGAGGAACACCGGUGGCGAAGGCGGAUCUCUGGGCCAUUACUGACGCUGAGGAGCGAAAGCGUGGGGAGCGAACAGGAUUAGAUACCCUGGUAGUCCACGCCGUAAACGUUGGGAACUAGGUGUUGGCGACAUUCCACGUCGUCGGUGCCGCAGCUAACGCAUUAAGUUCCCCGCCUGGGGAGUACGGCCGCAAGGCUAAACUUAAAGGAAUUGACGG